UCGCCCUCUGGUGGCUGACUGCAGCACUGCGCUGUCGCAAUCCUCUUCAUCACGACAAACCAAAGCGCCCUUAUAAACCGGGAAAAAUGUCCCAGCGCUUCCGUUCCACAGCCUUUCAGUCGCUUCAGAGCAUGUUUGAUAGAGACAGAGAUCUCAAGACGAUCCUCGUGGGGAACAUCCACAGCUGUGUGACAGAGGAGAUUCUGUUCGAGCUGUUCCUGCAGGCCGGGCCGGUGGACGAGGUGUGUAUCUUCAGAGAUGGACAGCAGGCUCCGUAUGGAUGUGUUUAUUAUAAGCACGCUGAAGCUGUUCCCUACGCAGUCGAACUUCUCAAUGGAAUCUGGCUCUAUGGGCAGCCGAUCAAGUUACAGCGUAAAACCGUGCAGAUGCUGUACAACGGGAUGAUGUGGUUUUGAAUUUAAAUCGCAGUCAAAGUGUGGAGAUCCAAUCUAAUGAAGCAUACAGCUGGAGUGACAUGGUGUACAGCAGACGUCUGCAGGUGUGUGGUUCUUUCCUCCGCUCCAGCUGUGGCAUAGCUCUGGUCACUCAUCUGGGACAUCUCUCCACAGGUCAGCCAGCAGCGCAGUGGGUUGUAAUUUUCAGAAGGUGCUGUACGGAGAGCGCUGUAUGAGCAUCCUGACACCAUCUGUUCCUGUGAGCGCUUUUAUCAACUCUGAUUCAGACUGCAAGCUCUAAACCAGUCAGAUCUGUGCAUGCUCUAAUAAAGCCAUCUGAAUGCACCCUAUUGUCUCUGGAAGUUUUGAAGCACAAGUCCCAUCAUCUGAAAUGAUUAUUUUCAACUUAAUCUUGCAUUCACGUCUCGCGCAGAAUCUGCUCUGUGAUUAUAAUCCCAAUAUUUGAGCUCAAUGUUUGAUGAAUUUAUCAUCUCCAAUGACAUUUUCAUAAAUGGAUAAAAGCUUAACAUCAGACAAAAUGUCACAUUUAUGUUGGAUGAUAAUUUCUAACAUCUAGCGUUCACUUUUAUUACCUGGUAUGACCUUCAGCCAAAGCCCUUCCCUCUCUUGAAUUUUAACUAGUAUGAUAAGAUGCAAUAACUAUUAACCACAGACUUUAGACUUAAAAGGAGUUCACCAAGUACAAGACCAUUUCAGUUAGUGCUGGUGUAUAAAAAC